CGAUUCUUUAAAAUAAGAAACAAGGAAAGCUGAAACUGUAAACAGAGCAACACUGCAGUAUCCGAUGGAGCCACUGUCUUCUUCGGUCACCGGUUUUUUUUCUUUUUUUCACCAUUCAACUUGCUCCGGACUCGGCGCUGAACUCGGUCACUGCUUGUCCAUCUAUCUGGGGUUCAUAUUUGUGGCAAACGGUGGGGAAAAUCGGUUCAGCUUGGUUCAAGUGGCAUUUUUUUUUCUCUCUUUGGAAACCAGGUUUUGUUCCUCUUUUCUCAACAUAUGUACCGGAUCAGACCAUGCCCUAGGAUGAGUCUGAAAGAAGUAAUUUAUUGUUAGGGUUUUGAUUAACUCAGUCCCGGUAAUAGUUUAUAAGAUCAUGGUUGUCUUUCUCAACUCAGAAUACUUCAUAAAAUUUGUAGGAAAUUGUAGUUUUCCCCCUCAUUUUGAACAUGCUUGCACAUAAACACUUAUAAAUACUUUGGUGGUGUUUGCAACACUCUCUUUUUAAUUUAUUUUCAAUAAUAGAAAUAACUUAUGCAUGAAUGCUUUCAUCAUAAACACUUAUAAAUACUUUGGUGGUGUUUGAAUAAAUUUCAGUCUUAAAUACUUAUAAUGGAAGAAAACUGUUAAAAUUAAUUGAGUUUCUCCAAUAUACUAAAGUCUACUUGUAACUUCACUUCUUGACAACAUUAAAUGAAAAGACUUCUAUAAAAGCUAACAGUGCAAAUUAUAUGAGAAACAUUUAGAAGUCCCACUUGGUAUACAUCAAGUCUUUGAGUGCAACUUAUAUAUAUGUUGGGAAAACUUCUUUGGUAAAUAGCAAUUUGUUUUAGAAUGGAAUAUUGCUUACUCUAGUAGGAUGCCAAGUUUACCGAGACAUCUCUCUGUGGAGAUGAAUGUUGUAAAGUUCCAUAUUGUUUGCCUACCUUUGAUAGGUUGAAAGUCUGAUUCAAAGGAAGCAGUGGGUUAAAAGAGUUCACACAUUUAAGGGAAGCCAAUGGAACACCUGACCGUGUUGUCUGUGUUUUGGAUAUGUCAAAUCUGAGAAAGUUUUUUAAGUUCCUGUUUCCACAAAUAAUUAUGAAAGUAUUGUGUAUUUUUACUUUUUUUUUUUUUUAUGACAUCUGUUUGUAUAAGAAACAGUGUAGGUGAAAGUAAGAAACGAACUGUAUAUAUCUGAAUUUUUUGUCUGGGAGAAAUAACAAUAAAGAUGAUUUUCUCAGAACAAACAGCCUUAAUGUGUACCUUUAUGGAAAAGGUUAUUGGCUUCAGUAGAUACUUUGAAAAUUACUAUGCUUCCUGUGAAGUAAGUAGAUUUACAAAGUUGUAAAUGUGAUUUCUUCCAAUCUCUCUUGGCUCAAAUGAAAUAUUGUGGUGCAUUGUUGAUUUGUUUGUAACCUCUCCCUACUCUUUGAGGGAACUAUUAUAUAAGUUCUGGUCUAUAUCUCUCAUCUCAGCUUGUUUGUUAAUUCAUCCCUUUACAUGAUUGUCCUUGGCUUCACAGAAUAAAUUUUUGUAACUGGUUGAUGGGUUAUUUAUUUUUAGAAUAUUAUUAAGGAUUGCAGGAUUUAUUUGAUGUGGUUAAUUAGGUGUUGGACUCUUAAUUUUUUAUAGAUCGAGAUGUAAUACAUUAAACACUGAUCUUUUUGUUCCGUACAGCUACAGUUUUUUUGCUGCAUACUUUAAUCUUCUCCGUGGAUCCAAAUGGUGAGUUAUGUUAAUAUAUGACUUCCAUCUUGCAACAAAAUUUACUGAAUAGAUAAUCAUCAUGACAAGAUUGUGCAACAGAGCCAUGUUUGGGCCCUUUCCUAAUGUUAUGUUCUUACUGAAAAAUAGGUCAACACUAGAAGGGGAGGGUUGACAGUAAUGUAAGAAAGUUCAUGCUCUUAAAAGACUUUUGAUAAAAUGAUUUUCACAAAACUGAAGUGUAAAAAUUUUAUCCACAUAUACUGUUUACAAGUAUAAUAGAAGAGCAGCGAAAUCUCCUUUUAUGACUUUUGACUUAUGUGAGGACAUAAUGUCACUCACUCCUGACAAAUCCUCCUAAUCUCUCCUGGAGACUAAGAAGACCAAGUAUUCUCUGACACUAAGCUUCUUUUGGCUUUCUUUGACACCAAGUAUUAGUUAUAAGAAUGUGUUUUUGUUGUUUUGAUGUUGUUUGUAUUUUUUAGGCUUCAAGAAUGUGUUCAUGGUAAGACAUCUGAUAAUGGGUACUGAAACAAAUAUUUGAUUGUUAGAAAGUUGAAGCAGAUCUUCUUGUAAUCUUUCAUAUUCUUGUAAAAUCUAUUCUCCAAAUAGAUUUUAUUCUUUCUUGUUAGACUGCUUAUGUGUAUCUCUGGUUUGUUGAUAUGUGCUGCACACAUCAAAAAGGAAAUUAAAGGUACGUGUCUUAGGGAUAACGUGUAAUGUUUUUCCUUUUACGUGUUAUAUUAUUGCCGUUUACAAACUUUUAUUAAAGCAAGUAAAAAUAUUUAUCUUAUUCUGGAUAAUACUUCAUUGAUAAAAACAAAUUAUAUACCCUAGAUUACAUGCUGUUUUUGUAUUAUAGAAGGUUAGAUAAUAUAAAGUCAUCAACUUUUUUAAUUGAUUUAGCAAGCUCCAAAGCAUACGUUCAAACAAGAGGAUAUGUGGUUUCAAAACUUAAUCUCGAAUGUUAUUACCACAACGUAAUGUAAAUGUCACAUACUAUGUUUAAACGGUCUGAGACUAGAUUGUUUUAGUCUUAACAGUUGUUUCAUGUUUCUCUUUGUGCAUUGAUGUGUUGAUUGAAUGGUCCUGUGGGUCAAGUACUCUCUGUAUUGUUAAUACUCUAUCUUUUUUGCAGUAUUCAAAACUCAUGCCAGCAUGCUUCACAUAUAUAUUCAGAUGCUCAAAGCUUGAGGGAGACAUGUGCAACUCCAAUUCUUAAACAGGUGAAGAGUGAUUUUACCAGAUAUUGAUAUGAUAUGGAGAUGAGCAGCAUUUGGAUGAGACAUGGAAACAAAUAUUCUUAUAUGACCCUGUAUGUUAUUUGAAUUAGUGAAUAGUCAAUUAGGUGCUUUUUAUUUUAUUUUUUGUAUAUUAUUACUCCAUUUUCAUACUUUUAGGAAUUACAUGAAACAUAAAAGUAACAUUUCUUUUUCUCUGUUCUCUGCUUUUGUGUGAAAUGAAACAUAACAAAGUACUUCAACCAAUUUCGAACUUAAAUUUGGGGUGAUUUGGUUCUGAACAUGGGCAAAAAUGAAUCCUUCUAACACAUAAUGAUAUAUUUGUCAUUAAUCAACCAUAACAUAAACUUAAACUAGUAGGGGAAUGCAUGUGAAUCCAUUUUCAUACUACAGAUACUAUCAACAAUCUUCAUCCGCUCUGGCAGCAUUAGUUAAACAAUUAGAUUGCCACUACAUGCACUUGUUGAUAAUGGAAUUUAAGCAUUCUUCUAAAGUAGUCUGUGUUAUAUUCUUCAGUUCGGAGACAUCAUUUUAUCUGUCCUGCUUAAGUGAUGAGAAAUACCAAUAGAAGUACUCCUGUCCUACAAUUGAUUCUUGUACAAGUGUGCUUGUCAAUUUUGCAUUAGCUAACCAAUUGGGAGUACUUUUACACAUGUCUCAUCAUAGCUAACUAACUAUGUUUUUCAUUACUUAUUUUAUGAUCUGGGGAUUAGGAAAAAGAAAUAGUGUAAUUUAUCUAAUUUUAAUUUAAACAAAUAAUUAGUAAAUUAGUAGACUAGGAUUCAUAAAUAUAUGUUGCUGGUUCAUCUCUUCCGUUGUGCACACACUAUCAUCCCUCUCUGUAUUAUGAGCUGUUUUAACCACGUUAUGUUCCCUGGUCCUCUCUAUAAAAAUGCCAAGGAAUGUGGUUAUAUGUCAGUUGACAAUGCUGGCAGUUAAGAAGGCUUCAAAAGCAUUAAAUCCAUCUGAAGCUACUUUUGAAGAGGAGCUUGAAGUUUGUAACAAUGGUGGUGAUAAUGUUGGUGCCAUGUGCCAAGGAGAAGUACAAAGGUUCCCAACAAUUGAGGAGGAACUUCUUUUGCCCCCUGGCAUGGAAUUAAAACAAAUAUUUGGCAUCGAGUUACCAUCCAAAGAUGUUGGGGAUGCGUUGCAACUUUUACAAUUUUUUCGAGUUUUUGGGAAGUUAUAGUGUCGCAGCCAUGCAUAAUUUUAAUCAGGCUCUUGAUCUCAAGGAAGGAGAACCGGAAGCCAUAUUAAAAGAAUUGGUCUCCGUCCUUUCCUACUAAGGAUUUGGAGAAAUUAAUUAUGGAAUCACAUCUCAUAUUAGAUGAUUUUCCUCUAGAUUGGCUUCAGGAAGGCAUCACUGGAUACUCUAAAUUGGAUUUGUCAAAGAAAUUUAAACUGAUGAUUCUUCUUUGUGACGAGACUUUGAAUACCGAAAAACUAAGGAGAUAUAUUAAAGAUGAAAAUUCAAGAUAUGCAAAGGGAGUGAAAGAAGCAAAACUUAAGAUUGCUGCAACUAAGGAAAAGGUAAAGUGUCUUGAACAGAAGUUGCGGAAUGAGAAGGCAAAAGUUGUUCCUUCAACUGUGUCCCCCUUUACAAUGGACGACCAUGAUGCUCUUAUAAAACUAAGAACUGAGGUUGAUGAAGCACAGGCUGACAUGUUCAGGUUAAAGAGCACAAAUAAAAAAGAGAAAUUAGGAUGUGAUGCCACGAGAAUCAAUCCAGAGUUUGUGGACAAUAAUGGGAUGAUAUUUUGGAACUUGCAACAUGACAAUGAUGAACCUGUUAUUCUGUUGCAAGAUAUCAAAAUAGAAGAUGAAACUGCAACUUCACCCGAAGAAAGUUGGUCUGUUUAUAGUCCUGCAGAGAAGGACGAGGUUGAUAAAUAUAUUUCUUUAAGGACUAAAAGACUUAAUAGCCGCAAGGAUUCUCACCUGCUUGUGAGCGAAUCAAGUUCGCAGGACUUUUGAGUGAAUCAUGUUAUUAUUGUUAAGAGGAUAUAUAUUGGCCAAAAUACUUAUUUCAUACGGCUCUUCUUUCAGUGAUGGAGUAUUGGUUUUAGUGGAAAUCUUUCUCUGGUGGUGACCCUUUUAGUGGAACACAAAAUGAAAUGUCUUUUUUUUAUUCUGUAUAUUUUCAAUAGUUUCAAUUUAAUAAAGAAUUUUAGAUCUUUUGUCUUUU